rnacentral:rRNA from 1 species
GAUAAACGCUGGCGGCGUGCAUGAGACAUGCAAGUCGAACGGACGAUCAGGGCUUGCUCUGAUCGUUAGUGGCGGACGGCUGAGUAACGCGUAGGUGACCUGCCCCGAAGUGGGGAAUAACUGCCCGAAAGGGUGGCUAAUACCGCAUGUGGUGGUGCCUUCAUGGGCACCAGUAAAGCCGCAAGGCGCUUCGGGAGGGGCCUGCGUCCGAUUAGCUCGUUGGGGGGUAACGGCUCACCAAGGCGACGAUCGGUAGGUGGUCUGAGAGGACGAUCACCCAGACUGGGACUGAGACACGGCCCAGACUCCUACGGGAGGCGGCAGUCGGGAAUUUUGCGCAAUGGACGAAAGUCUGACGCAGCAACGCCGCGUGAGGGAUGACGGCCU